GCCCUCGUGGUGUAAUGGAUAACACGUAAGAUUCCUUUUUCUUGCACUGGGGGGUUCGAUUCCCUCCGAGGGCG